rnacentral:rRNA from 1 species
CAAGGGUGAUCCAGCCAUGCCGCGUGCAGGAAGACGGCCCUAUGGGUUGUAAACUGCUUUUGAACUAGAGAAAACCCCCCUUCGUGAAGGGGGCUGAUAGUAUAGUUAGAAUAAGCAUCGGCUAACUUCGUGCCAGCAGCCGCGGUAAGACGAAGGAUGCAAGCGUUAUCCGGAUUCAUUGGGUUUAAAGGGAGCGUAGGUGGAUUUGUAAGUCAGUGGUGAAAGCCGGCAGCUUAACUGUCGAAUUGCCAUUGAUACUGCGGAUCUUGAGUAUGGUUGCUGUGGGCGGAAUAUGACAUGUAGUGGUGAAAUACAUAGAGAUGUCAUAGAACACCGAUUGCGAAGGCAGCUCACAAAACUGUAACUGACGCUGAGGCACGAAAGUGUGGGGAUCAAACAGGAUUAGAUACCCUGGUAGUCCACACUGUAAACGAUGAUUACUCGAUGUUGGCGAUACACAGCCAGCGUCUUAGCAAAAGCGAUAAGUAAUCCACCUGGGGAGUACGCCGGCAACGGUGAAACUCAAAGGAAUUGACGGGGGCCCGCACAAGCGGAGGAGCAUGUGGUUUAAUUCGAUGAUACGCGAGGAACCUUACCAGGGCUUGAAAGUUAGGGUAUGAUCCAGAAAUGGGUCAGCCAGCAAUGGCCCGAAACUAGGUGCUGCAUGGCUGUCGUCAGCUCGUGCCGUGAGGUGUUGGGUUAAGUCCCGCAACGAGCGCAACCCCUACCAUUAGUUGCCAUCAGGUAAAGCUGGGGACUCUAAUGGAACUGCCCGCGCAAGCGGAGAGGAAGGUGGGGAUGACGUCAAGUCAUCACGGCCCUUACGUCCUGGGCUACACACGUGCUACAAUGGCUAUUACAGAGGGCAGCUACACAGUAAUGUGAUGCUAAUCUUCAAAAAUAGUCUCAGUUCGGAUUGAGGUCUGCAACUCGACCUCAUGAAGCUGGAUUCGCUAGUAAUCGCGCAUCAGCAAUGGCGCGGUGAAUACGUUCCCGGGCCUUGUACACACCGCCCGUCAAGCCAUGAAAGCUGGGAGUAUCUAAAGUCGAUUGCCGCAAGGCGUCGCCUAGGGUAAAACCGGUGAUUGGGGCUAAGUCGUAACAAGGUAGCCGUACCGGAAGGUGCGGCUG